rnacentral:lncRNA from 1 species
CAGGGACUGAUGCCAAUGUGCACAUUAUUUUAUUUGGGAAUGAGGAAAAAUCUGAGGUGUUUCAACUCUCUCAGUCACUGGAUCAUCAAGACCCCUUUGAAAGAGGAAAAGUUGAUACAUUCAAGAUUAAGACAAAAAAAUUAGGGAGCCUGCAUUCAAUUGAAAUUGGUCACGAUGGGAAAGGAUUUGCAAGUGGCUGGUUUCUGGAAAAGGUAGAAAUCACAGAUACGUCUAGGAAUUCAGUGUAUUGCUUCAACUGUAACAGGUCAGUAGAUCAGAAAUUCUUUACUGUGAGGGUGCUGAGGCACUGGAACAGGUUGCCCA